rnacentral:rRNA from 1 species
UACGUAGGGGGCAAGCGUUGUCCGGAAUCAUUGGGCGUAAAGAGCUCGUAGGCGGUUUCGUAAGUCGGAUGUGAAAACUCCAGGCUCAACUUGGAGACGCCAUUCGAUACUGCGAUGACUUGAGUCCGGUAGGGGAGUGUGGAAUUCCUGGUGUAGCGGUGAAAUGCGCAGAUAUCAGGAGGAACACCGGCGGCGAAGGCGGCACUCUGGGCCGGUACUGACGCUGAGGAGCGAAAGCGUGGGUAGCAAACAGG